UUCUUAAUAAAUAGCUGAGAUAUCUCGGUCCAUAGAGCAUGAGUCUCUUAAUCUCAGCUUCAUGGGUUUGAGCCCCAUGUUGGGAAA